UCUGAUUAUUUCCUGGCUGGCAACUACAGUAAAAUCUCACACCUCAAUUUUUCCAGAUCUUGGAAGUACAUUCAUCAAUGUCUACUGCAGUUUUUAUCUGACAGAGAAGAAAAUCAAGCAUUAAAACAGUACAUCAAGUUGGAUUUGAAAAAAACAGAAAGUUACUUUACAGUCCAAAUGACAACUACAUAAUUUAAUGAUAAGAGGUUUUUGUAACACCACAUUUUAUUUUUGCUGGACAGUUUUAAAGAUGAAAAGCUGUCAGAAAAUUAUGCCAUCAGAAUUCCUGUAAACAAGCUCCUGCUUCACCUCUGCCAUGAGCAAAAGCUUCAUGCGUCCUCCCCAGAAGCCAAGCGGAUGCCGG